CCUACGGGGGGCAGCAGUGAGGAAUAUUGGUCAAUGGACGAGAGUCUGAACCAGCCAAGUAGCGUGAAGGAUGACUGCCCUAUGGGUUGUAAACUUCUUUUAUAAAGGAAUAAAACGAGGCACGUGUGCCUUUUUGCAUGUACUUUAUGAAUAAGGAUCGGCUAACUCCGUGCCAGCAGCCGCGGUAAUACGGAGGAUCCGAGCGUUAUCCGGAUUUAUUGGGUUUAAAGGGAGCGUAGAUGGGUUGUUAAGUCAGUUGUGAAAGUUUGCGGCUCAACCGUAAAAUUGCAAUUGAUACUGGCAGUCUUGAGUACAGUUGAGGUAGGCGGAAUUCGUGGUGUAGCGGUGAAAUGCGUAGAUAUCACGAAGAACUCCGAUUGCGAAGGCAGCUUACUAAACUGCCACUGACAUUGAUGCUCGAAAGUGUGGGUAGCAAACAGGAUUAGAUACCCCUGUAGUC
rnacentral:rRNA from 1 species